UUUUCUGGUUUCUAUUAGCGGUUUUUUUUUAAAUAUUUUGUUUGUUCGAGUUUGCGAAUAAUAUUCACAUCACAUAAUAUUAAUUUAAUAAUAUACACGCGACAUUUCCAGCAGGAGCACUCCUCUCAGUCGCCGUCGCCUCCAUCGCCGCCGCAGCACAGCCGCAGAGGAGAGUAUAAUAUAUGUGUAUACGAUAUCGAGAAAUCGGUUGUUUUCACGGGCUGCUACAGGCACUCUUAGACUCUUUAAUGUUGACGAAGUCAGGUACCUGAAGUAGCGCGUGGAAAUUUAACCAAAUCGUCUGUGGUCGUCGCCGCGAUGACUCCGCCACCAUCGCCACCGCAGUUGUGAAGUAUAUACACACAAACAUACACUACACGCAUAGUGUAGAUAUCGAAUCGAAUGUUUUACAGUUGUAUAGCCUACUAUGUACACGCGUGUAAUGUAACGAUAUAAUAUUAUAAUAUAAUUUCGGGUAAUCUAAGCUAUAAUCUGUAGUCUGUACGAGUAACGUUAUUAUAUCUCCGAGUGUGUGGCAAAGUUUUUCAAACCACCUGUUGAUUGUACUUCAUCAGGUGCUCUGGUAAUGCUGAAAAUCCCGGCACUUGUUGGAGUGCAAUUCACUUGCUGGCAUCGCAUCUACGAGCACAUGCAAUGUGACUGUUUGCACCGGUUCUCUGAGAUAAAUAAUAUUGUAUAUACUUAUUGUGCGCACGAACGGGCAUGUAGCUAUUGUGCCUAAUGCAAUGUAUACCCAGCGAUAAUAAUAAUACAGGCAGGUAAGCCGCGUGUACGUUGGACCAUUGGCCAAAGCGCGUGUAAUAAUUAUGUAUUUAUACUCUAUAUUGUUAAUAAUAUAGCUGAUUAUUAUAAUAUGUACCGAAUGUUUAAAUGUUACGUUGAUUAUUGUUAUUAAAAUCGAACAAACGGCAGUGUAUUGGACGACGACGACGACGCCAACAGAUGUUGCUCUGGCCCUGUGCAAAAAAUGUUGCCAAUCCGCAACCUCCGUCCUCCGGUGCUUUGCGUGCGUGUUUCUAACGGGAUUGCGUAAUGUACUAUUGAAGAUAAUUUUUACAUGAAUACAAAACUCGUGAUGGUCGGCGAGCAUUCGUAUAUUGAAAAUCAAUCUAUGUUGAUGGAAUAUUAUGAACGUAUUUAAAGUUAUACAGAUCAGUUGCCUGGAAUCCUAGGCUAUUAGACGAUAAGUCAAAAAUAAAACAUUGUAUCUUCAUCAAUCAUCAUAAUGUAGUACUUAUAGAAUUAACUAACUAAUUUGUAGCUUAUGUAAAAAAUAUUUAUUUAUUUAUCUCAUGUCAUGUCUUACAUUACUUUAUAGCUAUUGUACUCUUACCCAUCUGUAGGAGGAAAUUAUUUAAUAUAUAAAUAUUGAAAAAUCAUUACAUUUGAAAAAAGAUUCUUAUCGAAUAUUUUUUUUAGCUAGACAAAACAAAAUAUACUUUUUUAAAAAUUAUAUUCAAUUUUAAUUUUCUUAGUACUGCCAUUAGAUCACUUACUAUUCAACUUAGUACUGUAAAAUAUAAAUGUAUUCAUUUGCUUAUUGUACUUUUAUAUUAAAUAUAUAAUAUUUGGUACAGAUUGUGAAUAAUACUGUAUAAAUAAAUUUCUAUUAAAUACAAAUAAAGUCUUAAAUGUGUAUUUUAGACCCCGGUCGAUCAAUAGCGGAUGUCAAGUAACUUAAUGCGAUACAAUUUUAACCAAUUAAAAUAAUGAUAAAACAAAGCCAAUGUAUUAUGCAUAUAUUAUCACAAUAUAUGUGUAACUACAUACUAUGCAUAAUAAUUAGAAUAACAUGUAGUUAUCGAACAAUGACGGUUACCUACUAUAUAAAAGUGAUAAUGACUUAAAAAUACUUUAAAGCGAUUUAUUACUUAUCUUUGACGGAACAGUUUCAUGUAUGUAAACACCUAUAUCGGACUAAAUUGCCCUAUCUCUCUCUCUCUAAUACGAUAUCACAACUUUCAUAAUAAGCUUCUAUUAAAUAUUUACCGAGAGAUAUUUUAAACAUUAGUUUUCUAUGGGCUAACUAAUAAAUGUGUGCGAGCAGUAUAUAUGCUUACAAUAUGUUUAUAAUGUAGCAGAUAAUAUAGAGUAUUAGAGUGUGACAUAUUUUGUGAAUUUAUUUAAUAAUUGUGAAAGAAUUUUGUUUUGAAGAAUAUGAAAAUAUGUUAUCGACAUACGUACUAAAUUAGUUGUACAAUUCUAUAGUCACUUUAAAACUAUGCUGUUGAAGACAAUAAGAAUUAAUUUUUAUGAUCGAUAUAAUAUUAUUUAGGUGUUAUACCUAUACUAUUUUAUUUUAUGAUUUGUGAUCGUAUAUGUUUCUUAACAUACUGCAGGUACCUAGUUUAGUAUUAUUAUAUUCACAUAUUACUAUGAUAUUUAUGUAAAGAAUAAUACUUAUUGUA